AGUUCCCUUUUAUGUCUCCUGAGAUGCAGUGACCUCACAUCCCCCCACUUGGGCGACCAGCGGCGGGGGAACAGCUCCAAGGGUCGUCGGCAACUUUUUUCCACCACGGGGGAAGCUCCGAUGUCUAGGCUGAAAUCAGGCCCCCAGGCCAGCCAUCCUCCCCCGACGCGCUCCGGGAGGGCGACCCCGGCGUCUGGCAGGACUCGAUUUGGCCUCGUGCCCUUCGCGAAGGACCGAGACGAGUUUCCUGAGAAAAUCUCCGAUGCCCUCAGCAGGGCAUAAACGCAUUUGUAUUCUCCUUCGGGAUCUUGGCCCCGACUGUGUUGGAUAUGGUAGCGAUUUUAGGUCUCCCUUCGAAAGGGGUAGAGCCUCCUCCAUCCCCAUCAUAUAAGGCCGACCGAUUACCGAUUCUCUUUCCUUAUGACAGCAAUACCAUUGUGAUUCAGUUCCUUGCAUCAAACAUGCUUUCUGGCUCCGUUGAUCCUUUGGAGCACAAUGCUUUCCGUAUGUAUUGGUUUAGCAAGUAUUUCAUUUGUUGCGCGUUGAAAGGAUUCAUCCGGGAAGUGGAACCGAUUGUACAUGUUCUUAUUUCCGGGGCGGAGAUAGAUUUAGCCUUGUAUUUCCUGGGUUUGCUAUAUCAUGGUAUAAAUGAAUUUAUGGGGAAGCUUUUUGUGUCCACUUCCCGUGAACUAGUGAGAGUGGGUCCUCUAUGGUUUCUUGAGUUGUGGGUCCGGCUAUAUUUCCCGAAUCUAAUUAGCCCGCGCCCUGAACUCCCAAUCGGCCCGCUCACAAUUUCGGGUCCUCAUCUGACGUCGUAUUCUCCUGUUCAAGACGAUCUCCAUUCAAUCACCUACUCCCUCUUACACGAGACUGAUCGAUCCUUAACCGGAUUUUGCCCUUUGUCCGGUUUCUUUGCACCUCUUGAUUCUUCAAUCUCCGUAACUACCAACCUCCCUGGUUCUAUGUACUAGAACAAGUGCCUGACCGCUCGAAUUUUGAUUAGAGGUUUGUCCAUGGGAUCCCGAUAUAAUCCGUUGCUUGGAGAGGUCUAUCAACCUCAGUACUCUGCGCACCAAUUUUUCCUAGUUCAAGGGAUCCCCCUGUUCGGUUUUCUCCUACCGCCCCUUGGGCUCGAGCCAAAGUCUAGGGUCGGCUCUUGUUGAUGAUUGGCAUUCACUUUGCCUUCUUUCGAUGACUGGUGGGCCGAUUUUCUAAUUCACUCGAACGUGACUGCCUUUCGGCGAUCUCUAGUCAAACCGGUUGAUGGACAUUCGAGUGGUGAGGGGUCGCCUAACGCUGUCUCCGAGGAAGUAGAGGAAUUGCCCAUGCCCUCAGCUAUAGGCACACCUCCGUUAACAGGCAUCCGAUCCAUAUCACUUUCUGCCAUUCGAUGUUCCCGAAGGCUAAUCUCAAAACCAGCCGUGCCCAGGUCGCGGCCAAAGAGUCCCGCCAAACGACCAGCUCCAUCGCCACCUUCCCCUCAGGUUCCUCCCAAGAAGGCGACGCCCUUGUCCUCUAUUGUCCCGACGGAAUAAUCACCUUCGUGGACAUCUCUUGCUUAGAUUUUCCAUACGGGAAUAGGCUCUGAAGCUGUCGUUAAGUCGGCAGAGCGAUCUAUCUCCCCUCCAUCGUCCUUCCAGCUUUCGCACGUAGCUACGACUCCGGAAAGGGCGGUUGAAUCGGCCCGGACUCACUCCCCUGUCUCGAUCAGGCCCAAGAAUGUCUGGACAUCCACCUCUUCACCCGCUCCUUCAGUCCCAAAGGUAGUCCCUGCCAACAUUUAGGCAUAUUUCGCCCAAGUCCUUGUUACCAAUGCCUCUGCCCCUUCUAGCCUCGAGGAUCUGGAUCCGGAUCCCUUUGAUGUGUAUCAAUCUGCUCUGCCGGAGGAUUCGAUCAUCUUGGACAGCCUACAGGCAUCUGUUCUGACUGCGGCCGCCUCCCUGUCGUUGGAUCAGCCUCGUCACAGGCAGUUGGAGGAUCUUGCUGACCGCCUGGGGGAAACUUCCGGGCACCUAAAGAUGUUGCAGCGUAUCCGCAAUGCGAAUGACAGUAAACUCAAAGAGUUGGCGGCCUUGGAAGCACAAAAGGCUGCCUGCGCUCAGAGCUUUCUAGAUGAGAAACAACACACUGAAGAUGAGAUGGCGUAUAUAGAGGGCCUUCGUGCUGAGGAAGAAGCUCCACGGGCCGAAUUGAGCAGAAUUGAGGAGCGAUUGAAAGAGAUCCCACCAGAGUCAGAAAGGGUGGCUGCAAGUCUUGCUUCCAGGACUGCUCGGAGAAUGGAGAUGUACGAUCAAGCGAGGGCUCUGGAUGAGCCCUUGUUUGGACUCUGCGGCCAGAAACUCGUCUUCGAGAACAACUGCCAACGGGCUGAGAGAGGGUUAGAGGAACUGCGUUCGGUGUGGCUUGGCAUGAUGGCCCUAUAGACUUUGUUGCAUCCUGAGACUUCGGGGCCAGCCAGCCGACUUCCCAUCAUGCUGGUCGCUGUGGCUGAGGAGUCAUGCACUGCCGAUACAGCGCCCGAGCCACCGGCUGUAAGUAUAUCCGUUGUUGGUAUUGGGCUUGUGGACGUCCAUGUCACUCAUGAUGUAGGUCUGAGAGAUCCCCCUGUGGGUCAGUAACUUGUUCCGCAUUCGUGUAGCUUGAAUUGAAUCAUUCCCUCCCCUUUUUGCUUUUGUCUCUUUUUUAAUGAUCUGUGAUCGGUGGAGGAAAUUGUUUUGGUAGAUAUGAAUCCACUGUUGUGUCAGUCUUUCUUUGAUGGUAAAUCAUUUUCUCAAUCCAGGUUAACCCCGUGCUGUC